CGAAAGCCAGACGCAGCGACGCCGCGUGGGCAAAGAAGGCCUUCGGGUUGUAAAGCCCUUUUCCAGGGGAAGAGGAAGGACGGUACCCUGGGAAUAAGUCCCGGCUAACUAUGUGCCAGCAGCCGCGGUAAGACAUAGGGGACGAGCGUUAUCCGGAUUUACUGGGCGUAAAGAGCGUUGAGGCGGUUCCGUAAGUUGGAUGUGAAAGCCCCGGGCUUAACUCGGGGAGGUCGUUCAAUACUGCGGGGCUAGAGGGCAGCAGAGGGAGGUGGAAUUCCCGGUGUAGUGGUGAAAUGCGUAGAUAUCGGGAGGAACACCCGUGGCGAAGGCGGCCUCCUGGGCUGACCCUGACGCUGAAUGCGAAAGCUAGGGGAGCG
rnacentral:rRNA from 1 species